UCCCUGGUGGUCUAGUGAUUAGGACUCAGUGCUUUCACCACUGCGGCUCGGGUUCAAUCCCUGGUCUGAAAA
rnacentral:tRNA from 1 species